UGGAGUAAUGGGUGAGAAGUAUUAAUGCUGU
rnacentral:piRNA from 1 species